UCCUGGAACGAAUAACAAGACUGUUUUUGAAUGUGGAACUCUCACUGGCUUUUAAAAGGACACAUGGUUAUUUGGCGCAUGCGCAUGCGAGAUGCAUGCGAAGUAGCUCGUUUCAGCAGGAGCGGCGUAAUUGGAAAGGCGAUUUUCGGGAAAGGCGAUUAAAUAUUUUCUCCUUGGCGGGAUGUAAAUCGCGGUCGUGUGAUAGCGGUGUAAAUAACGGCGUUACAAAUACGUUGUGGCAAAUAGGAAUGAAUAUAUUAGGAUAAAACCAAAUAUAAAAGUGAAAUUCUAUUUUGCAGUUCACAAUUUUUAAGGUUAAAAUAGAUACAAUGCACAUUGCAAUGAGACGCGUCGUUACCUGUAUACAGGAAGUAACUGACCAGAAGAAUCGAGGAAGUUCAUAUUGUAAUGUUUGUUAAUGGUGGAUAUCUAUGCAUGACAGUGAACGCAAUGAAGGGCCAUCGAAUAAAAUGAUUGAAGGAAGCGUUGAAAGUCUUUUGUUUAUCGACACCCAUUUAAAAGGCAACAUUUAUGAACACAUUUGUUAUGCAAUUGCUUACAACAUCCAAAAUAAAGAAUAAAUUUUUUUUCUCGAUUUUGAAUAUCAAUCGUUAAUCAAUGCAUGAAAAUUUACAUCUUCCGUUUAACAUCGUUUUCACAUAAUUGAUAUUUAUGCAGAUCAUCCGUAAAUUGUGAACGACGAAUGGCUCGCAUCAUAUAAAGAAAAAAAAUUCGAAAGGAGAACAUUUUGUACAGUUUCUCAAGGAGAUUACUCUGAACGUGACCACAAUGAUACUCAGGAAUGAAGUACGUAGUAAUUUUACCACAGAGUUCGCUAACUUUAUUCUCAGACCUUGUAUUAUAUCAACAACAUAAAAUGGUCUCUCUCGUUUUUCAUAUAUGUACAGACGAAGAAAACUUUUAAGGAAAGUCGAAAUGAAUUAUUUCGAUGUUAAAAAUCUAUUUCGGUACAAUGUGACAUGGAUAAAAGAAAAAAGGAUAAAAGAAAUACUUAGAUAUAGCUGUUACCGACAAGAAUUCGAAAGUGUCGCUAAGCAUCUUUUUAUUGACAAUUACAUAAUAGGAAAUAUGGUAACAAAUGCAAUCUCUAACUUCCGUAAUCGAACAAUUUCUCUUAUUGAUUUAUUGAUGAAAAUAAAUAAAAACGUCCAAUCUUUUUUAUUUAAAAAAAAAAUAAUUUAUAUCAGAUUAUAUCAAUGUUCUCAAUCUAUGGACCAGAGAAAUGCAAAUUUUUCAUCAAUAUUUUCAUAUUUUCGUAUUUUUGUAUUACUAGUUAUAUUCUUUUUAUCGUUAAUAUUGAAAAUAAUUACUCAAAAAUGUCAAAACGUAUGCGAUAAUCUUUACACUUUCUUCUUUUUUCGCUUGAAAUGAUCAUAAAUAAUUUAUAUAAAAUUUUAUAAAAUAUAUAUAAAUAUAUGAUCUCAAUAAAUUUAUUAUAUUAUUUUAUCGUUUAAAUUAGAAUGAUUGUUUUUAUAUACAGAAAGAGUGAAAAAUUUUUUAAAUAUUCAAUCAAAUAACAUAUAUUAUUCUAUUCUAAUAAUAUAUUAAUCUAAUAUAUUAUUUUAUAUAUUAGUUUGAUCAUAAUUCAAGCAUUCGAUGAAAUAGAUAAAUACAUAUUCUUAAUAUUGCUAAUAAUUUGCAUUAAAAUUUGUUUAUAACAAAUCGAUCAUUGUGAUAAUAUAAAAUAUCAUAUUAUUGAAAUGUCUUUUCUUCAAAAAAAAAAUAACAAUAAUAAUUUGUAAAAACCAUGUUUUUAUAAAAAAAACCAUUAUGCUUUCACUCCAUUUCCUGACACGCUAUCCACGCUUAUGCUACUUUAGAACUGGUUAAACCGUUUAGAAAUGAAAAGAUGAGCAAGAAUUAUAAAUGAUUGUAACAACAUGUCCACGGAUGAUUCGUGGAGAAAGUGGGAAACGCAGAUACACCCGCGGAUAAUUUUACGACUGUUAAAUAUCCUAGUCGUAUUAUACGAUUGUUGAUUUCAAAAUAUACAGAUAAAUUUCAAAAUACAUUUGAAUGUCUCAGAAAGCAAAAUCGAUCAACUGCAUUUUUUUAAAAUUUUUUAAUUUUAUUAUGUCAGUAUACAAUUAACGUUCAAUUUCUAAAAAAUAAUAAUAAUAAUAAUAAUUAACUCGCAUUAAUUUGUAAUUUUGCAAAAGAAACAGAAUAAUCGCUAUAAAUGUAAUUUUCAUAAUACUACAUGUGUAAUCGAGAACAGAGCGUGAAUGUAGUGUAUUCUUUCUGUGUGACCCGAUUCCAACUGAUUCGAAUAUGUGAAUGAAACUUUCUCUGGUUUAAAUUGUCGUAUGAAAAUAUGAAAAUACUACUAUAUUACAUAGAAAUCAUGCCUUUUUCUUGAAAUUACAAUUAUUUGAUAUAAACAAAGAAUCUCAUUAUAAAGAAAACGACUAAUUUUUUUUUUUUGUUUCAAAUUAUAGUUGACUAUUGUUUUUUUAUCACAUUAUAAUUAUAUCAUAAUUAUAUAUGUAUGUAUAUAUAUAUUUGAUAUUGCAUUAUAGAAAGAUUUAAAAAAAUGAAAAAUUACUUAAUUAAAAAAAAUGUUUUUAAAAAAUUUUAAAAAGAAAGAUAUGAGUAUUCAAAUAUUUGUUAAUAAUCUUUUGAGUAAUUUGAUCUAGAGAAUCGAAGUUUUCGUUCAAAUAUAAAAAAUUUAAUAUUGAAUAGGUUUGAAAGUUUUAAAAUGAAAAAUUAGAAUGUUAUAUUAAUCUACUACAGACUACUUUGUAAACUAGAUACGAGAGAAAAAUGUGUUUUCACCGCACGAUGAAUGCACACCGAUGCAUAAAGCACGUAAUCGUAUCACGUUUAGAAUCUUUUCAUCUUCUUCGCAUAUAUGUAUAUUCUAACUACUUGUGUCACUAUCGUGACUAGCGCUUUCUCUAACAGUAGCGUACCAUAUUUUUCGAUACCGAAGAAUCUAAUUAGAUCCAAAAAUUUUUUAAUUUUAUUUAUUAUAUAAAUUAUAAUGCAUUAAAAUUAAAUUACAAAUAAAAUACAAUAUAUUCUUA